GGGGACAUACGAUACUGUCAUGAACUGGUGAGAAAUUCCUUCAUUAAGUAAUACCACCUAGGGAUAGGGGGGUAGGACGAUAAAUUGUUUUUGCUUCUGUUCUUAACGCGUUAUUAAUUGCUAGGGGAGGCUAGGGAUAACAAGCUAGUAAUUAGUAAUAAGCUCUUUUCGCCGAGGGAUCGGGUUAAGGGUAGAUGAUGGGUGUCGCCGCCCAAUCAAAUUUGAUUGCAUAAAGGAAUGCAGUAUAGUGCUAGGAAAGUGACCCCUAGGUCGUCUCUCAAGGACCAAAUGUGGUUCGAGAAUUAGGUCUCA
rnacentral:lncRNA from 1 species